ensembl:lncRNA
AGCCAGAGCCGAAGGAACAUGAACUCGGCUAUUCUUCAUGAAGGAUUAACUGCUAGAGAAACCCACCAAGGAGGAUAGUAAAUUUUCCAGCUCUGGUAUUUUCCAAUUAAGUUUGCAAGCUCUCCUGGAAAUAUGCUUCAACCAUCCCAGGACAAAUUACUGGGAGGCAAGUCAGGACCAAAUUCUGAGAGAUGUUUCUCAAAAUGACUCCAAUGGGAGUUUUUCAUGUGAAGAGAUUGUAUCAUCAAACCAUCUUACACACUACUUCACCGUAUUGUGAGCAUUUCUGGUCUACGCAUUUUGGAAGAAAACAAGGCAGAACACACACAAUAAAACUUCAGGAAAGAGUAAAGAAAA